AACGAACGCUGGCGGCAGGCUUAACACAUGCAAGUCGAGCGCCCCGCAAGGGGAGCGGCAGACGGGUGAGUAACGCGUGGGAACGUACCCUUUUCUACGGAAUAACGCAUGGAAACGUGUGCUAAUACCGUAUACGCCCUUAGGGGGAAAGAUUUAUCGGAGAAGGAUCGGCCCGCGUUGGAUUAGCUAGUUGGUGGGGUAAAGGCCUACCAAGGCGACGAUCCAUAGCUGGUCUGAGAGGAUGAUCAGCCACAUUGGGACUGAGACACGGCCCAAACUCCUACGGGAGGCAGCAGUGGGGAAUAUUGGACAAUGGGCGCAAGCCUGAUCCAGCCAUGCCGCGUGAGUGAUGAAGGCCUUAGGGUUGUAAAGCUCUUUCACCGGAGAAGAUAAUGACGGUAUCCGGAGAAGAAGCCCCGGCUAACUUCGUGCCAGCCGCCGCCGUAACAC
rnacentral:rRNA from 1 species